UACGUGGGGUGCAAGCGUUGUUCGGAAUUACUGGGCGUAAAGCGUGCGCAGGCGGUUUUGUAAGCCAGAUGUGAAAUCCCCCGGGCUUAACCUGGGAAUGGCAUUUGGGACUGCAAGGCUUGAGUGCGGCAGAGGAGACUGGAAUUCCUGGUGUAGCAGUGAAAUGCGUAGAUAUCAGGAGGAACACCGAUGGCGAAGGCAGGUCUCUGGGCUGACACUGACGCUCAUGCACGAAAGCGUGGGGAGCAAACAAGG
rnacentral:rRNA from 1 species